GCGGCAGCGAACGUAUCACCCAAGACAACUUUACGGAGUUGACGAUUGACGGAGCGAAGCGACGUCAAAGCGUUCAUUAAAGUCGAGUUGGCUUAGGGAUACGUUCGUUGGGUAGGGGAGCGUUCUGUAAGCCUGUGAAGGUGGCCUGUGAGGGUUGCUGGAGGUAUCAGAAGUGCGAAUGCUGACAUAAGUAACGAUAAAGCGGGUGAAAAGCCCGCUCGCCGGAAGACCAAGGGUUCCUGUCCAACGUUAAUCGGGGCAGGGUGAGUCGACCCCUAAGGCGAGGCCGAAAGGCGUAGUCGAUGGGAAACGGGUUAAUAUUCCCGUACUUGGUGUUACUGCGAAGGGGGGACGGAGAAGGCUAUGUUGGCCGGGCGACGGUUGUCCCGGUUUAAGCGUGUAGGCUGGUUUUCCAGGCAAAUCCGGAAAAUCAAGGCUGAGGCGUGACGACGAGGCACUACGGUGCU
rnacentral:rRNA from 1 species